rnacentral:rRNA from 1 species
GAGUUUGAUCCUGGCUCAGAUUGAACGCUGGAGGCGUGCUUAACACAUGCAAGUCGCGCGAGAAAGGGACUUCGGUCCUGAGUAGAGCGGCGCACGGGUGAGUAACGCGUGGGUAAUCUCCCCUAGUGACUGGGAUAACAGCUGGAAACGGCUGCUAAUACCGGAUAAUCUUCAUGUUUAACUUCAUGAGGUAAAGGUGGCCUCUGCUUGCAAGCUACCACAUUAGGAUGAGCCCGCGUCUCAUUAGCUAGUUGGUGGGGUAAUGGCCUACCAAGGCUACGAUGAGUAGCUGGUCUGAGAGGAUAAUCAGCCACACUGGGACUGGAACACGGCCCAGACUCCUACGGGAGGCAGCAGUGGGGAAUAUUGCGCAAUGGGCGAAAGCCUGACGCAGCGACGCCUCGUGAGGGAUGAAGGUCUUCGGAUCGUAAACCUCUGUCAAGAGGGAAGAAACCAUUGAAGUCGAAUAGGCUUCUUUAUUGACGGUACCUCUGAAGGAAGCACCGGCUAACUCCGUGCCAGCAGCCGCGGUAAUACGGAGGGUGCAAGCGUUAAUCGGAAUCACUGGGCGUAAAGCGCUCGUAGGCGGCUUGGUAAGUCAGAUGUGAAAGCCCUCGGCUUAACCGGGGAACUGCAUUUGAUACUGUCAGGCUUGAGUGUCGGAGAGGGUGGCGGAAUUCCAGGUGUAGGAGUGAAAUCCGUAGAUAUCUG